rnacentral:rRNA from 1 species
GUGGGGAAUCUUAGACAAUGGGCGCAAGCCUGAUCUAGCCAUGCCGCGUGAGUGAUGAAGGCCCUAGGGUUGUAAAGCUCUUUCAGCUGGGAAGAUAAUGACGGUACCAGCAGAAGAAGCCCCGGCUAACUCCGUGCCAGCAGCCGCGGUAAUACGGAGGGGGCUAGCGUUGUUCGGAAUUACUGGGCGUAAAGCGCGCGUAGGCGGACUGUAAAGUUGGGGGUGAAAUCCCGGGGCUCAACCUCGGAACUGCCUUCAAAACUAUCAGUCUGGAGUUCGAGAGAGGUGAGUGGAAUUCCGAGUGUAGAGGUGAAAUUCGUAGAUAUUCGGAGGAACACCAGUGGCGAAGGCGGCUCACUGGCUCGAUACUGACGCUGAGGUGCGAAAGCGUGGGGAGCAAACAGGAUUAGAUACCCGUGUAGUCC